UGUGAAGAUGCAGGUUACCCGCGACAGGACGGAAAGACCCCGUGGAGCUUUACUGUAGCCUGAUAUUGAAAUUCGGCACAGCUUGUACAGGAUAGGUAGGAGCCUUUGAAACGUGAGCGCUAGCUUACGUGGAGGCGCUGGUGGGAUACUACCCUAGCUGUGUUGGCUUUCUAACCCGCACCACUUAUCGUGGUGGGAGACAGUGUCAGGCGGGCAGUUUGACUGGGGCGGUCGCCUCCUAAAAGGUAACGGAGGCGCUCAAAGGUUCCCUCAGAAUGGUUGGAAAUCAUUCAUAGAGUGUAAAGGCAUAAGGGAGCUUGACUGCGAGACCUACAAGUCGAGCAGGGUCGAA
rnacentral:rRNA from 1 species